UACGGAGGGGGCAAGCGUUGUCCGGACUUACUGGGCGUAAAGGGUGCGUAGGUGGCCUGCUGCGUCGGUGCUGAAAGCGCCCGGCUUAACCGGGCGAGGCGUGCCGAUACGAGCGGGCUGGAGCCUCGGAGAGGGCGGUGGAACUCCUGGUGUAGUGGUGAAAUGCGUAGAGAUCAGGAAGAACACCCGUGGCGCAAGCGACCGCCUGGCCGAGUGCUGACACUGAGGCACGAAAGCGUGGGGAGCGAACCGG
rnacentral:rRNA from 1 species